rnacentral:siRNA from 1 species
GGAGUUAGUGAUCGAAGGUCGGU